GAAAGCGUGGGGGAGCAACAGGAUUAGAUACCUGGUAGUCCACGCCGUAAACGAUGUCUAUUUGGAGGUUGUGCCCUUGAGGCGUGGCUUCCGGAGCUAACGCGUUAAAUAGACCGCCUGGGGAGUACGGCCGCAAGGUUAAAACUCAAAUGAAUUGACGGGGGCCCGCACAAGCGGUGGAGCAUGUGGUUUAAUUCGAUGCAACGCGAAGAACCUUACCUGGUCUUGACAUCCACAGAACUUUCCAGAGAUGGAUUGGUGCCUUCGGGAACUGUGAGACAGGUGCUGCAUGGCUGUCGUCAGCUCGUGUUGUGAAAUGUUGGGUUAAGUCCCGCAACGAGCGCAACCCUUAUCCUUUGUUGCCAGCGGUUAGGCCGGGAACUCAAAGGAGACUGCCAGUGAUAAACUGGAGGAAGGUGGGGAUGACGUCAAGUCAUCAUGGCCCUUACGACCAGGGCUACACACGUGCUACAAUGGCGCAUACAAAGAGAAGCGACCUCGCGAGAGCAAGCGGACCUCAUAAAGUGCGUCGUAGUCCGGAUUGGAGUCUGCAACUCGACUCCAUGAAGUCGGAAUCGCUAGUAAUCGUGGAUCAGAAUGCCACGGUGAAUACGUUCCCGGGCCUUGUACACACCGCCCGUCACACCAUGGGAGUGGGUUGCAAAAGAAGUAG
rnacentral:rRNA from 1 species